rnacentral:rRNA from 1 species
GUGGAUUAAUACUCCAUACUAUUAGUAUUAUGCAUGUAAUAUUAAUAAAAACUACGGUGGCAUAAGAUGGGCAUGCGUCUGAUUAGUUAGUUGGUGAGGUAACGGCUCACCAAUGCGACGAUCAGUAGGGGUUCUGAGAGGAUUAUCCCCCACACUGGUACUGAGACACGGACCAGACUCCUACGGGAGGCAGCAGUGAGGAAUAUUGGUCAAUGGGUGAGAGCCUGAACCAGUCUUUCCGCGUGCAGGAUGACGGCCCUAUGGGUUGUAAACUGCUUUUCUACGCCAAGAAAGGUCCCUACGUGUAGGGAAUUGACGGUAGCGUAGGAAUAAGCAUCGGCUAACUCCGUGCCAGCAGCCGCGGUAAUACGGAGGAUGCAAGCGUUAUCCGGAUUUAUUGGGUUUAAAGGGUGCGCAGGCGGGCUUUUAAGUCAGUGGUGAAAUACUGCCGCUUAACGGUAGAAUUGCCAUUGAAACUAGGAAUCUUGAGUGUGGUUGAGGUAGGCGGAAUGUGUAGUGUAGCGGUGAAAUGCAUAGAUAUUACACAGGACUCCGAUUGCGGAGGCAGCUUACUAAGCCAUAACUGACGCUGAGGCACGAAAGCGUGGGGAUCGAACAGGAUUAGAUACCCUGGUAGUCCACGCUGUAAACGAUGUUCACUCGCUGUUUGCGAUACACAGUAAGCGGCUGAGCGAAAGCAUUAAGUGAACCACCUGGUGAGUACGAUCGCAAGGUUGAAACUCAAAGGAAUUGACGGGGGCCCGCACAAGCGGAGGAACAUGUGGUUUAAUUCGAUGAUACGCGAGGAACCUUACCUGGGCUUAAAUGUAGACUGCAUAGGAUGGAAACAUUCUUUCCCUUCGGGGCUGUUUACAAGGUGCUGCAUGGUUGUCGUCAGCUCGUGCCGUGAGGUGUCGGGUUAAGUCCCAUAACGAGCGCAACCCUUACCGUUAGUUGCCAACAGGUCAAGCUGGGGACUCUAGCGGGACUGCCACCGUAAGGUGAGAGGAAGGUGGGGAUGACGUCAAAUCAGCACGGCCCUUAUGUCCAGGGCUACACACGUGUUACAAUGGCCGGUACAGAGGGCAGCUACCACGCAAGUGGGUCCAAUCCCGAAAGCCGGUCCCAGUUCGGAUUGGAGUCUGCAACCCGACUUCAUGAAGUUGGAUUCGCUAGUAAUCGCGCA